UUUUUUUUUUUUUAGGACAUCAUACAUAGUAGCCAAGAUGAGCCCAGCUCAUUCCAGCUCAUGUUGGAGGAACUGUGUAGCACUUAUCGCUAAUCACACUCACAUAUUCUGGUCCUGUCCUAAUUUAAGUGUUUAUUGGAAAGAGAUAUUUGAUGCCCUUAAAGUGGGUUUACAACACGAUAUCCCAUAGGAACCUACAGUGGCAUUAUUGGGGGUAAUUCCUGGAGGACUGGAGGAGAGGGCCACAAAAUAUCUACUGAAUAUUUUAUUCACAGCUGCAUUACA